UUUGUUUCUCUGAAUUUCAGGGAGGUUGGGAUCAGUCCCUGGGUUCUAAUUUCUGUUUGCUAAUGCAAAUGAAUUCUAUACACUCAGGGUAGAAAAUUGAGCCUACCAAGAGAGCAUCUCAAACCUCCUGGGUGGAGGUUGUUUGCAUUCAGGUUUCAUGUAAACAGGUGCCUGAAGCUGCCUGUAGAGCCCUCUCUAAGCUGCAGGCUGGGGAAGGACCAGACUGGUCCUGUAAAUUGAAGGCAGAGAAAGAACACCUGACCAUCACCCUACUUGGGAGACACCAGAGGCCAGUUCUGGAAGUCUACACAUAUGAGAGUUCUGAAGGCAAAUGGCAGCAGAGCCCGAGACUGAAUUUCUAAUAACUUCUCAGGUGAUGGCGAGGUUGCAGAUCCCUGAGGACUUAAGGGAGCACUCUGAGACAAAGACAGAAACUGAAGGACUCUAGAAGGGAAAGGCUUGACUGAACUGUUGCAGCUGCCCACGUCAGUGACUGCGGUAGCAAAUGGAGACCAUCACAGAAGACCACACAUGCACACAGUGCAGAGAUCAGUGGUUGGUGGAGAGCCCAGCCACAAAGGAUACAGCUUUCCUGGGUCUUGCAUUUGUGUCUCAGAAGAUGACUACAGAAAGACUGUCAGAGCCAGACCACCAGGAAACUCACAGUGACAUAGUCGCUUCUAGAAAUGGCUGCAUAAAGAAGACUGGAGCAAUAUCAAUAAGCAUAUUAAUGCAGAAGGGGACAAUUGCACAGAGUUUCAUCCCUAGACAGAGAACUACAGGUAACUAAGGGCUGAGGGAGAGUUAGCCUCUCCCAGGGACGAGCUUCCUUUUUGGUUGUUCAGUAAGAGUGGGCAAUUAUGAAACCAUAUACACACAAACAACAAAACCAGACUCAGCAGGUUGUACUUAGAUAUUUG
ensembl:antisense Gm11417 predicted gene 11417